rnacentral:rRNA from 1 species
AUUGAACGCUGGCGGCAUGCUUUACACAUGCAAGUCGAACGGUAACAGGCCUUCGGGUGCUGCCGAGUGGCGAACGGGUGAGUAAUGCAUCGGAACGUACCCAGAGGUGGGGGAUAACGCAGCGAAAGCUGUGCUAAUACCGCAUGUGAUCUGAGGAUGAAAGCGGGGGACCGAGCAGCAAUGUUUGGCCUCGCGCCUUUGGAGCGGCCGAUGUCGGAUUAGCUAGUUGGUGGGGUAAAGGCCUACCAAGGCGACGAUCCGUAGCUGGUCUGAGAGGACGACCAGCCACACUGGGACUGAGACACGGCCCAGACUCCUACGGGAGGCAGCAGUGGGGAAUUUUGGACAAUGGGCGCGAGCCUGAUCCAGCAAUGCCGCGUGCGGGAAGAAGGCCUUCGGGUUGUAAACCGCUUUUGGCAGGAACGAAACGGUGUCCGCUAAUACCGGGCGCUAAUGACGGUACCUGCGGAAUAAGCACCGGCUAACUACGUG